CCGAGCAAUAUAAGAUAUCAUUUGGCGGUCGUUUUGUAGGAUGCUGAUCUUUGGGUCCUACGUAAUGGGCACCUACGAAUCGUGUCAGGGCAGGAAUGCAGCAGCACUAAGUAGGACCGUUCAUCUGACGCGGGGUCGCCUGAGGGGAGUCCUACAAAGCGGCUACCAAAUGAUAUCUAAUAGAUGGCUCGG
rnacentral:SRP_RNA from 1 species